rnacentral:misc_RNA from 1 species
AACGCACGAGACCUGCGGACCUGCGGAGGGAUCAUUAUCGAAAGAACAGUUGUGGGAUGUCGCUGGCACUCCGGUGCAUGUGCACUCCUCGGCUACUCCUCGAAACCAUUUUCACAAACCCUUGUGAACUUGUUUGUAGGAGAAAGAUCAUUUUGGUCGGCCUCCUAUGUAUUGUUUUACAACAUUUCACACCAGAAUGUUCAAAUGGAUGUAUCAGUGUUGGCCCAAAUAUUUUUUGGG